UUACCGAGUUUACAACUCCCAAACCCCUGUGAACAUACCUUACUGUUGCCUCGGCGGAUCAGCCCGCUCCCGGUAAAACGGGACGGCCCGCCAGAGGACCCCUAAACUCUGUUUCUAUAUGUAACUUCUGAGUAAAACCAUAAAUAAAUCAAAACUUUCAACAACGGAUCUCUUGGUUCUGGCAUCGAUGAAGAACGCAGCAAAAUGCGAUAAGUAAUGUGAAUUGCAGAAUUCAGUGAAUCAUCGAAUCUUUGAACGCACAUUGCGCCCGCCAGUAUUCUGGCGGGCAUGCCUGUUCGAGCGUCAUUUCAACCCUCAAGCCCUCGGGUUUGGUGUUGGGGAUCGGCGAGCCUUUCUGGCAAGCCGGCCCCGAAAUCUAGUGGCGGUCUCGCUGCAGCCUCCAUUGCGUAGUAGUAAAACCCUCGCAACUGGAACGCGGCGCGGCCAAGCCGUUAAACCCCCAACUUCUGAAUGUUGACCUCGGAUCAGGUAGGAAUACCCGCUGAACUUAAGCAU
rnacentral:rRNA from 1 species